rnacentral:rRNA from 1 species
CCUACGGGCGGCAGCAGUGAGGAAUAUUGCACAAUGGGCGAAACCCUGAUCCAGCGACGCCGCGUGAAGGAAGAAGUAUCUCGGUAUUGUAACUUCUAUCAGCAGGGAAGAAAAUGACGGUACCUGACUAAGAAGCCCCGGCUAACUACGUGCCAGCAGCCGCGGUAAUACGUAGGGGGGAAGCGUUAUUCGGAUUUACUGGGUGUAAAGGGGGCGUAGGCGGGUUAGCAAGUCAGAAGUGAAAGCCCGGGGCUCAACUCCGGGACCGCUUUUGAAACUGUUGAACUAGAGUGCAGGAGAGGUAAGUGGAAUGCGUGGUGUAGCGGUGAAAUGCGUAGAUAUUAGGAGGAACACCAGUGGCGAAGGCGGCUUACUGGACUGUAAAUGACGCUGAGGCUCGAAAGCGUGGGGAGCGAACAGGAUUAGAUACCCUGGUAGUC